rnacentral:rRNA from 1 species
UUAGCAAUCCGCCCCUUCGGGGAGCGGGUUGCUGGCCUCCUAUGUUCCUAACGGUCCUCGUCCGCGAGGGCGGGGAAUCAACCGCUAGGAUCGUUUACUUUGAGGAAAUUAGAGUGUUCAAAGCAGGCGUAACUCGCCUCCGAAUACGUUAGCAUGGGAUAAUGGAAUACGACUUCGGUCUUGUUUCGUUGGUUUCGCUUGGCUGAAGUAAUGAUUGAUAGGGACAGUUGGGGGCAUUAGUAUUUAGUUGUCAGAGGUGAAAUUCUAGGAUUUACUAAAGACUGACCAAUGCGAAAGCAUUUGCCAAGGAUGUUUUCAUUAAUCAAGAACGAAAGUAGGGGGAUCGAAGACGAUCAGAUACCGUCGUAGUCUCUACCGUAAACUAUGCCGACCAGGGAUCCGGAGAGUUUGCAUGGAUGACUCCCCGGGCACCUUGUGAGAAAUCAUAAGUGUUUGGGUUUUGGGGGGAGUAUGGUCGCA